rnacentral:rRNA from 1 species
GUCCACGCCGUAAACGGUGGGCACUAGGUGUGGGAUUCACUCAACGGAUUCCGUGCCGCAGCUAACGCAUUAAGUGCCCCGCCUGGGGAGUACGGCCGCAAGGCUAAAACUCAAAAGGAAUUGACGGGGGCCCCGCACAAGCGGCGGAGCAUGUUGCUUAAUUCGAGGCAACGCGAAGAACCUUACCUAGGUUUGACAUGUACGGAAAGCUACAGAGAUGUGGUGUCCUUCGGGGCCGUACACAGGUGGUGCAUGGCUGUCGU